ACCUUCCUUGUCAUGGGGUGGCACGGGAGACUCAAUGAGCGAAUAGCGAGAGUCCCCCUGCUAACACCAUAUCAACACAUAUGCAUCACCUGGACACCAUGUUCAGGCUCUGAUGCAAUUUUUGGAAAC